UACGAGAGGCCCAAACGUUAUUCGGAAUUACUGGGCUUAAAGAGUUCAUAGGCGGCAUUGCAAGUAGGGUGUGAAAGCCCUCGGCUCAACCGAGGAAUUGCGCUCUAAACUGCAGUGCUCGAGGAAGCUAGAGGUGAGCAGAACAGAUGGUGGAGCGGUGAAAUGCGUUGAUAUCAUCUGGAAUACCGGAGGCGAAGGCGGCUCACUGGGGCUUUUCUGACGCUGAGGAACGAAAGCCAGGGUAGCGAACGGG
rnacentral:rRNA from 1 species